GAUGAACGCUGGCGGCAGGCUUAACACAUGCAAGUCGAGGGGUAGAAGUUGCUUGCAACUUUGAGACCGGCGCACGGGUGCGUAACGCGUAUGCAAUCUACCUUAUACAGAGGGAUAGCCCAGAGAAAUUUGGAUUAAUACCUCAUAGUAUAAUUGAAUGGCAUCAUUUAAUUAUUAAAGUUCCAACGGUAUAAGAUGAGCAUGCGUCCUAUUAGCUAGAUGGUAAGGUAACGGCUUACCAUGGCAACGAUAGGUAGGGGUCCUGAGAGGGGGAUCCCCCACACUGGUACUGAGACACGGACCAGACUCCUACGGGAGGCAGCAGUGAGGAAUAUUGGACAAUGGGCGCAAGCCUGAUCCAGCCAUGCCGCGUGCAGGAAGAAGCAUCUAUGGUGUGUAAACUGCUUUUGUACGGGAAGAAACACCCCUUCGUGAAGGGACUUGACGGUACCGUAAGAAUAAGGAUCGGCUAACUCCGUGCCAGCCGCCGCCGUAACAC
rnacentral:rRNA from 1 species